rnacentral:sRNA from 1 species
GCGUGCAGAUUUGUCCCUCCCGCUCGGGAGCCUGGUGGAUCUUCUCCCACCUCCCCACCUUGCCCCCCGCCUUUAUUUUUUUUUUCCUGCAGGUCUUCAUUUAAUUUCUAUUUUUCCCCCUGCUGCAAGCCGCCUUGGGUGUAUAUACACAUUUAUUUUGCCUCGAGAAGGAAGAGCGCCUUAUAAGUUAAAAUACAGUGGGGGCAUAUGUGUAUUUUUUCCCCACUGUAGAUGCCAAUAUUUUUGAGACUGGAAGCCUGAAUUUUUUGUUUCGAACCAUUUCGUUUCCGUUUCUUCCCUUUUACCGCCGAAGAGUGCAAGGCCUUUCAUGAGCUGGAGGAGGGAAUGAUAUUCAGUGGUGUUUUUCUCAGGUGAAAGGAGCAGUAGAUGAUGAUGUAGCAGAAGCAGAUAUAAUUUCUACAGUAGAAUUUAAUCAUUCUGGAGAAUUACUAGCAACAGGAGAUAAAGGUGGUAGAGUUGUCAUCUUUCAACAGGAGCAGGAGCGCCUUUGACCUGAGGAUCUCAAAGUGCUUUACAAACACUAAUGAAUUAAUCCUCACAACACCCCAGUGAG